AAUAAGCGGAGGAAAAGAAACCAACAGGGAUUGCCCUAGUAACGGCGAGUGAAGCGGCAACAGCUCAAAUUUGAAAUCUGGCUUCGGCCCGAGUUGUAAUUUGCAGAGGAAGCUUUAGGCGCGGCACCUUCUGAGUCCCCUGGAACGGGGCGCCAUAGAGGGUGAGAGCCCCGUAUAGUUGGAUGCCUAGCCUGUGUAAAGCUCCUUCGACGAGUCGAGUAGUUUGGGAAUGCUGCUCAAAAUGGGAGGUAAAUUUCUUCUAAAGCUAAAUACCGGCCAGAGACCGAUAGCGCACAAGUAGAGUGAUCGAAAGAUGAAAAGCACUUUGAAAAGAGGGUUAAAUAGCACGUGAAAUUGUUGAAAGGGAAGCGCUUGUGACCAGACUUGCGCCGGGCUGAUCAUCCGGUGUUCUCACCGGUGCACUCUGCCCGGCUCAGGCCAGCAUCGGUUCUCGCGGGGGGAUAAAGGCCCUGGGAAUGUAGCUCCUCCGGGAGUGUUAUAGCCCGGGGUGUAAUACCCUCGCGGGGACCGAGGUUCGCGCAUCUGCAAGGAUGCUGGCGUAAUGGUCAUCAGCGACCCGUCUUGAAACACGGACCAAGGAGUCAAGGUUUUGCGCGAGUGUUUGGGUGUAAAACCCGCACGCGUAAUGAAAGUGAACGUAGGUGAGAGCUUCGGCGCAUCAUCGACCGAUCCUGAUGUAUUCGGAUGGAUUUGAGUAGGAGCGUUAAGCCUUGGACCCGAAAGAUGGUGAACUAUGCUUGGAUAGGGUGAAGCCAGAGGAAACUCUGGUGGAGGCUCGCAGCGGUUCUGACGUGCAAAUCGAUCGUCAAAUCUGAGCAUGGGGGCGAAAGACUAAUCGAACCAUCUAGUAGCUGGUACCGC
rnacentral:sRNA from 1 species